AAUAGAUACCCUGGUAGUCCACGCCGUAAAACGAUGAGUGCUAAGUGUUAGGGGGGUUUCCGCCCCUUAGUGCUGCAGCUAACGCAUUAAGCACUCCGCCUGGGGAGUACGGUCGCAAGACUGAAACUCAAAGGAAUUGACGGGGGCCCGCACAAGCGGUGGAGCAUGUGGUUUAAUUCGAAGCAACGCGAAGAACCUUACCAGGUCUUGACAUCCCAUUGACCACUAUGGAGACAUAGUUUUCCCUUCGGGGACAACGGUGACAGGUGGUGCAUGGUUGUCGUCAGCUCGUGUCGUGAGAUGUUGGGUUAAGUCCCGCAACGAGCGCAACCCUUGUUCUUAGUUGCCAUCAUUUAGUUGGGCACUCUAAGGAGACUGCCGGUGACAAACCGGAGGAAGGUGGGGAUGACGUCAAAUCAUCAUGCCCCUUAUGACCUGGGCUACACACGUGCUACAAUGGACGGUACAAACGGUUGCCAACCCGCGAGGGGGUAGCUAAUCCGGAUAAAACCGGUUCUCAGUUCGGAUUGUAGGCUGCAACUCGCCUACAUGAACG
rnacentral:rRNA from 1 species